UACAGAGGUGGCAAGCGUUGUUCGGAAUUACUGGGCGUAAAGGGCGCGUAGGCGGCCUGGUCAGUCCCGUGUGAAAUCCCUCGGCUCAACUGAGGAACUGCACGGGAAACUGCCUGGCUUGAGUUCGGGAGAGGGAAGCGGAAUUCCGGGUGUAGCGGUGAAAUGCGUAGAUAUCCGGAGGAACACCGGUGGCGAAGGCGGCUUCCUGGACCGACACUAACGCUGAGGCGCGAAAGCGUGGGGAGCAAACAGG
rnacentral:rRNA from 1 species